AAAUCUAAUACUAUUAAGGUUGGAACGUUUUACAAGUUUUCCUCUUAAAACAAUCGUAACUUUUUCUUCUGAAUGGGUAUCAGUCGGUAUUAUAAUAGUAGACAAGUCGCACGUUCAAUAAGAUUGUCAUUGAAAAGUUCUGUUUAAUUUUUACGAAAUUGGAGGAAUUGUGUGAAAUCGGGCCGAUAGUGACUCAACGAAGGAAAAAGCUGUCAUUCGUUGCUGUGUUAUAUUAUAAUACAGUCACAUCGACGUUCGCUUGAACGGUGUUAA